GGACCGCGGGCAGCGCGGCCCCGAGCAUGACGGCGGCGCGGGCGCCCGGCGCGGCCCUUCUCGGAAGUGCGGAGCCACCGACGCCUCCCUCCCGCGGGCCCGGGCGAGGACGGGCGGAGCACAGGGAGCAAAGCCCCGGGAGUGGCGCUGCCGCAGGCCUGUCGACCCCUCUACAGCCCUUAGCACACGUCGCCAAUCUUCCCUCUGAUGUUCGUUGUCUGGUCUAAUGCCCAGCCCGGGAGCCUACAUCGCGCCGGCAGUCACGCCGCCUUCGUCCCCUUUCAUGAGGGAAGGUGGCUCAGGCCGUGAGCGUCUUCAGCUAUCCCGACACCGCUGAAGAGCGCCGGCCAGAGGGUUGUACAAUGUCCUGCAGUUUCGGCUUGUCUGAUGUUCCCUCUUCUGGAAGAUUGGAAGUUGGAAGAACAGGAUUCCGGUUAUCCUUUUUUUAUCAAGAAUAUCAAAGAAGUGAUGUGCUCUCAGGGCGUCACCUCACAGACUCCCUUUGCUCAACUUUACUCAAGUGACUGAGGACAGGUCGAGGAAAUCAGUCACUUCUCCGGAUGGUUGUUGCUACAAGGACUUGAACUUCAUGCGGGCAGGUGUGCCUCUCUGCAGUCCUUUUUGUUUUUGUCUUGGUCAUUGUCCUCUUCCACUCUGCUCAUCAGCUCCCACAGGCCCAGGAGUGGGGAAAAAGGAAUGAAGAGAAAAGGCUAAUGAGGAAGACCAGUCAAGAAGAGGCUGUACAAAUAAUCCAGGGAGAAAAAAAGAGAAAGGCAUGAAUGAAGACAUCUGGCAAUGGAGAUAGCUACUCUUUGGGAAGCCGGAGCUGAUUCCCUUUAAGAAAGAAACAGUUAUAUUUUGCACAUAAGAAAAGACAAGAAACAGCUACAGGCUAUCUGAUGAAUCGAAUAACAACAUUCCCACA